CCUACGGGAGGCAGCAGUAAGGAAUAUUGGUCAAUGGAGGCAACUCUGAACCAGCCAUGCCGCGUGCAGGAAGAAGGCCCUAUGGGUCGUAAACUGCUUUUGUACCAGAGAAAACCCGAGUACGUGUACUCGGUUGAUAGUAUGGUAAGAAUAAGCAUCGGCUAACUUCGUGCCAGCAGCCGCGGUAAGACGAAGGAUGCAAGCGUUAUCCGGAUUCAUUGGGUUUAAAGGGUGCGUAGGCGGACUGAUAAGUCAGUGGUGAAAUCUCUCGGCUUAACCGAGAAACUGCCAUUGAUACUGUUAGUCUAGAGUAUAGAUGACGUCGGCGGAAUAUGACAUGUAGCGGUGAAAUACUUAGAUAUGUCAUAGAACACCGAUUGCGAAGGCAGCUAACGAAACUAUAACUGACGCUGAGGCACGAAAGUGCGGGGAUCAAACAGGAUUAGAUACCCUGGUAGUCCGCACCGUAAACGAUGAUUACUCGUUGUUGGCAAUAUGACCGUCAGCGACCAAGCGAAAGCGANAAGUAAUCCACCUGGGAGUACGCGGCAACGGUGAAACUCAAAUGAAAUUGAGGCGAGAGAGAGCGACGGACGACGACGAGGGAGAGG
rnacentral:rRNA from 1 species